rnacentral:rRNA from 1 species
AGAGUUUGAUCWUGGCUCAGGACGAACGCUGGCGGCGUGCCUAAUACAUGCAAGUCGAACGCAAAACUUUUAACUGAUGCUUGCAUCGAYCUAAAGUUUUGAGUGGCGGACGGGUGAGUAACACGUGGGUAACCUGCCCAUCAGAGGGGGACAACACUUGGAAACAGGUGCUAAUACCGCAUAAUAYAGAGAACCGCAUGGUUCUCUGUUGAAAGGCGCUUCUGGUGUCGCUGAUGGAUGGACCCGCGGUGCAUUAGCUAGACGGUGAGGUAACGGCUCACCGUGGCGAUGAUGCAUAGCCGACCUGAGAGGGUGAUCGGCCACAUUGGGACUGAGACACGGCCCAAACUCCUACGGGAGGCAGCAGUAGGGAAUCUUCGGCAAUGGACGAAAGUCUGACCGAGCAACGCCGCGUGAGUGAAGAAGGUUUUCGGAUCGUAAAACUCUGUUGUUAGAGAAGAACAGGAGCGAUAGUAACUGCUCGCUCUUUGACGGUAUCUAACCAGAAAGCCACGGCUAACUACGUGCCAGCAGCCGCGGUAAUACGUAGGUGGCAAGCGUUGUCCGGAUUUAUUGGGCGUAAAGCGAGCGCAGGCGGUCUUUUAAGUCUGAUGUGAAAGCCCACGGCUUAACCGUGGAGGGUCAUUGGAAACUGGGAGACUUGAGUGCAGAAGAGGAAAGUGGAACUCCAUGUGUAGCGGUGGAAUGCGUAGAUAUAUGGAAGAACACCAGUGGCGAAGGCGGCUUUCUGGUCUGUAACUGACGCUGAGGCUCGAAAGCGUGGKSAGCAAACAGGAUAGAUACCUGGUAGUCACGCCUAACAUGAUGCUAAUGU